CUCGAUUGUCGUGAAGCCGCAAAACGCCGGUUUGAUGUAAUAACAUCAAGGUUAGUGUUUUACACUGUUUGAUCUCAGAGAAAAAACCCAGAAGAAAAUCAAAAAGAAAAAGUGAAGAGAAUACUGAGAGAAAGGAGAGAACUGGAAAGAAAGCUGAGACUUUUUUUACAAAUCCAACUUUUCUUCUCUUUCUCUUCUUCUUCUUCUUCUUCUUCUUCUUCUCUUUCCGGUCCAAUUCCUCUCCAGUCGUUAUCCUCCAGUUUUCAUCCAUUUUACACAUUUAGUCGUUGCCAUGUCAGCUCGAAGAGAUGGUUGGGACCCACCCGUCUCCCUAUUUUCUCCUAAUUAAUUUUUAAUACCAAAAUAUUUCCUUUUUUUAACCAAAUUAUUUUGGAGCUUUUAUAAUUCAAUCACUUAAUUCAUUAAAUUAAUUUAAAAAUAAAUAAAUAAAUCUCAGCGCAUGAAAAUUUAAUAAAUAAAAUAUAAAAUUAAAAUUUAAUUUGUAACGCUUAUUUAAAUUCAUAUUUCCCCAACGACAUUCUAAUUUCUAAACGCGUCCUCGUCGUUGCAGCUUAAUUUUGUCAGUCCGUGCGAGAAAUUUACCGGUGGGACCCACAAUAAUGACGUGGCAAUUUCCGUCCAAUGGAAGAUGACAGAGUGGAAACAACCUCCUUUGCUUGCUUCGUAAUUAAAAAUAUUUUUAUUAUUUUUAUUCGACAUUCCG
rnacentral:lncRNA from 1 species